CCUCUCUGAGGAUCACACCUGGAGAGUUUCCCGUACUCGACCAGCCUCAGCUACAGGAGGGAGCAUCAAGCAGAGGCCUACCCAUUCCAAUCCUAGCUUGGGCAGUAGCUAGCAAAUGGAAGGCAAUCUGCUACAAGU